GGAGGGUUGGCAGAAUGGCUAAUGCACCGGUCUUGAAAACCGGCGUCCGAAAGGACAUGUGGGUUCGAGUCCCAUGCCCUCCGCCA
rnacentral:tRNA from 8 species